GGCUACUCAGAACAGCUAGACUGCUCGCCUGACUGGGUCCUGAGCCUCUGGAGCCUACAGUAAGGGUGAAACGACUGUGUCACAUUGUCCACUACGGGUUAAGUAGAAAACGGCCUGUACCAUUCCCACCUCUUGACUGGCUUCCAAUGCCACUACUGAUCCAAUGGGGGAAUCGACAGAAUCCCUGUGUGAUGCAGAAACUGGCAGAUUGCAGCCGGUAGCAACAAGAAGCACUGAGAUGUGUGUGGGCCCAAGAAGGACAGGAAGACACAGUACACAUGUAUCAAGUACAAGAAAUACAUUUGCAAUACACACACAGUAAAAAAACUCUGUCCCUUAUGUGGGGUGUAGACCGGCAUUAAUUUGUGUUCAAUUUGUGCUCAUUUUUCACUUCCGUAAAAUAUUGUACGUAAAAUUUGUCCUUCAAAUUUGUUCAGUUCAAAGUAAUAAACAUCAGUAGUGA